UACGUAGGCAGCGAGCGCUGUUCGGAAUUACUGGGCGUAAAGCGCACGUAGGCGGAUCGAUCAGUCAGGGGUGAAAUCCCAGAGCUCAACUCUGGAACUGCCUUUGAUACUGUCGAUCUAGAGUAUAGAAGAGGUGAGUGGAAUUCCGAGUGUAGAGGUGAAAUUCGUAGAUAUUCGGAGGAACACCAGUGGCGAAGGCGGCUCACUGGUCCAUUACUGACGCUGAGGUGCGAAAGCGUGGGGAGCAAACAGG
rnacentral:rRNA from 1 species